GAAUGAAAUUUCCAUACAUGUCAACUUUGACCUUCAGCUAUGCUUUAUUGUAUGAGGGAAAACGAAAGUGAACAUGUGGGAAAUGUAGAAAAAUGGUGUCUUUGUAAUACCAUUUUAUUAGUUCUGCAGUUACUUUUGAAAUAAAUAAGAAUGGAUAAAAAUUACGGGGAGGUGUUCGCUUUAUAUGCCAUUUCGCUGAUGGGCCUUUCCUAUAGAUUAUAAUAGGACUAGUCACUAGAUUGUCACUAGAUUCUAGAUCAUAGAUCUAGAUCUAGUCUACUCUAGUAGUAGUCUCUAGUAUCACCAAGUACUAGUAGAUCAUCUAGGUCUAGAAAACAUGUGGCAUACAGACAAGUUUACUAGAUGGAUCUUUCAUCAUUUUGGAAAUACAAUAUUCCCUGUGAAACAAAUCACAGAAACAUUCUACAAUUUUAUUUUAUAUAAUAAAUACCAAUAAAUGUAAAUACAAAAUCACA